UACAGAGGGGGCUAGCGUUGUUCGGAAUUACUGGGCGUAAAGGGCGCGUAGGCGGCCUUCUAAGUCGAACGUGAAAUCCCUGGGCUCAACCCAGGAACUGCGUCCGAUACUGGAAGGCUUGAAUCCGGGAGAGGGAUGCGGAAUUCCCGGUGUAGUGGUGAAAUGCGUAGAUAUCGGGAGGAACACCAGUGGCGAAGGCGGCUACCUGGACCGGUUCUGACGCUGAUGCGCGAAAGCGUGGGUAGCAAACAGG
rnacentral:rRNA from 1 species